CAAUCUUGUUCCUCCCAUCAUUACCAACUCAUUUACAUUUUUCUUCCUUUAAUCCAUACUACUUCUAAGAAAUUGAAAGGAAAACAAAAUCCUAAAAGAGCCACUCUCUCAUGCAUGGACUACAGUUCACCCACCAAAAUUUGAACCAACAACCAAUUAUAUAAAAAGAAACAAUUGAAGAAGUAUUCUACAUCAACUAAUUGUUUGUAUUCUAUUUCUCUCUCUGUUUCUAAUGGGAAAAAAAUUGCUGAAAAGAGAUGGAACUUUAGUUGGCCCUUAACCUGAGGUAUAUAGGUUUUUGUCUGAUAAGCUUUCGGGACUAUAUGAUGAUGCCAAUUCCCAUAGUCCAGUUGUUAACUAUGGCUAUGAAUUGAACUGUUUUUUAAAUCUUCACCUUUGUUUUUUUUCUCACCAUUGCAAAGUUUUUAGAGGAACUUGGAGAGGAUCCUUACUGACUAGGUGAUUUCAAUCAUAGCAUUGUCAUCAUGCAAAACCUGAUGGAGACUAAAACCUCUUGUAGGUAGCAAAAACUGGGACUACUGUGUUAUUUCGAAAUUGAGCCAAGACCAAAGAUGUAUUGAAUGGAUGGGUUGUUGUUGUGUUGGGACUGAGAAUAAUAAAAAAGGUGGAGAAGAACUUGUGCUUUCUGUUUCUCAAGUCAUUCCAUGUAGGGAUACCAUAUGUGCACACCCAAGAGCUAGUUCUUGUGAUCAACUGCCCUUUCAGUGCCUCUAAAUUCUGGGUAUUUCGUUGAUUUUUAUCAUCUCAUGCCCCCUUCCACUUCCUCUCCCCUCUUCUCUGUCUCGGAUGUUCUUUGUUGAACAGGGUUUAUAUGCAGACAUUGCUAUCAAAUGAACCCAAAUGGCUACUCUUUUCCAAUGAUGAUGUGGGUAGCAUUUGUAGAGAAAAUUACCAUACUACUACAGGUUGCAACAACAGCUACGUUUUUUUUUCAUCCUCUUUGUUGGAAACAAUGGGGACCAGAGUAUUAGUUCCAUUUCCGUUUGGAAUAGUGGUGUUGUUCAUUGCUCAACAUGUAUAGACAGACACUCCUAAUAAAUCCAUCCCAAAAUUACGAAUUGAUGUUUAAAUUAUCUUCUAACGGAUAUAGCUGCUGUGGAUUUCUCAGAUUGGUGAUGCAAUUCAUUUUGGAAUUGAUUUUCAAUAGUA